UUGACGAGAACGUUCACUCUCAAAACCGUUCCGGUAUGGUACUGCACCUGGGGGGCGCUGGUGGGCCAGUGCAGAAUGAAUGUGGUCCUAUGGAGCCCCACCCAUAGAUUCCUACAUUUCUUUGGAUAUAAUUUUUUUUUAAAUCACUGCUAUAGUUUUUUAAACAUGGAAUGGAUAAUCCUCACAAACGACACAUAGCUAGUAUUUUAUAUUCGCUUGAUUUUGACUAAAAUUAGGUUUUUGUAAAUCGGAUGACGUCAUGCGUGAUAAAUUGCUUUACGGCACCUUGUGUCUCUCCUUCCCUUUCCUUUCCCUCGCAGCAACAGCUGCAUACGAUCGCAGCUGAUUUGGCUCCGUGGGACUGAUUUGAACUCGGCUCUACAUGUUUUGAAAAGAUCCCUCACCGCAUUAAAGAACCUGGUUGAAGGCCUCAUCAAAUUCGCGUUGGGAGUGAAGCGUUUGGCUUCCAGAAAUGGGUGCUCCUGUGGAGACGCGUAACUGUGAUCAUGCAGUGUGGAGCCCAGCAGCAGCACUUCACAGUGAUGACAGACCUGGAUGGCUUGAUCCUUCUGCAGCAUCCUGACCAACCAGCCGGCAACAUAAAAUAGCCCCUCUUCGAGGAUACAGUCACCAAUGGUCUAUGGAGAUGACCUGGUCCUCCACAAUAUCCUGCGCCACCAUUUCCUCAGUGGUCCCCUCUGUAGGCAGUGUUUUGGGCUGGAGAGUGAGGGUGGCUGGAUUGUGGUCCCCGGGGGAUGGAGUGGUGGGCUGAGGUAACAUUUCACUCUAUGGAGGUAAGUGGAAGUAAUGUUAAUUCACACGCAAGACAUGCAAGGGCAUAUUUAGGUUGUAUUGCACAUUGUAGCCUGUGCAUUUAUAUUUUAGUUAUAUAUCAGUGUAGUUUGUAUCAUUAUAUUUGUAUUUUACUUUGUAUUAUUCCUGACCCAUAGUUAUUGUUAUCAUAAUAACAAUGUUGUCUACAAUGACCUGCACCUCCAUAUCCUCAUUGGUCCUGGAAGGUGGAGCGGCGAGUUGAAGGUUGGCCAGAAGAGGAAAUCCGGCAUCUUCCUCACAGUUGGAGGUGUUCGACAGUGAUGUCAUGAUAUGCGACACACUCAGCCCCCUUAAUGCUGCCGUGAAUUCCAUGGCGCUUGGAUUGUAUUUGUGCCCUCCUUUGCCACGGAUCAGAGAGAAAAGGUUCUACUCACAACAGAAG